ACAGAUUAAAAAGACUUUUGAUUUAACAUUUUAAAAUUAAGUAAUUAAUUUGGUUUUAUGUUUACCAAAUCAAUAGAUUUUUCCGUAACAACGCCAUAGCAACCGAUUUAUAAGUAUAAUAAAAAGUUUGCGAAACGAUUCCUUUUUAAAAUAAUAACGCAAACGAGCUGAAAUUUUGACAUUUUGUUUUUAGUAAUAGUAAAAUUCAUUUUAGAGAAGGUAUUUGUUUAAGGCAUUUUAGUUCCUAAAAUUUUAUCUUGUUUGGCUAAAAAAUUUCUUGUUUGGCUCGUCUAUUUUUUAGAGCUACCGAAAAACAGAAAAUGUUUUGGUCGGAGUCAGCUACACUGUUAUGCCGAGCCAGAAGAAAGCAAGUCUAUAGUUAAACAAAAAAUAAAUAUGUUUUGGUUUAAAUCUUAGAAGCAAGUCAUAAAAAAUGGUAAAUACGAACUGGGCUUAUCGUACAUAGUUUUACAGUGAAAUCAGUGUAAAAAGAAUUAAGGAAUCGACUUGUCAAAGAAAUCAACUAAAA